rnacentral:rRNA from 1 species
AAAAGAAACUAACAAGGAUUCCCCUAGUAACGGCGAGUGAAGUGGGAAAAGCUCAACUUUGUAAUCUGGCUCUUUCAGAGUCCGAGUUGUAGUCUCGAGAAGCAUCAUCCGUCUCGGACCUUGGAUAUGUCUGUUGGAAAACAGCGUCAUAGAGGGUGACAAUCCCGUUUGUGCCAAGGACUCCCGUGGGCAUUGUGGUGUGCUUUCUAAGAGUCGAGUUGUUUGGGAAUGCAGCUCAAAUUGGGUGGUAAAUUCCAUCUAAAGCUAAAUAUUGGCGAGAGACCGAUAGCGAACAAGUACCGUGAGGGAAAGAUGAAAAGCACUUUGGAAAGAGAAUGAAACAGUAUGUGAAAUUGCUGGAAGGGAAACGAUUGAAGUUAGACUUGCGCUGGCCACAUUCAGCCUUUUAGGUGUAUUUGUGUGCCUUUGCAGGCCAGCAUCGGUUUGCUUCGAGGUAUAAGGACGUGCGGGAUGUGGCUGCCUCGGCAGUGUUAUAAACGCGCGUUGGAUGCCUAGUCGCAGACCGAGGAACGCAGCGCGCCGCAAGGCAAUGCUCUCGGGCAUCGAGCGCUUAGGAUGCUGGUAGAAUAGCUUUAACCGACCCGU